rnacentral:rRNA from 1 species
AGUCGAGCGGAGAUGAGGUGCUUGCACCUUAUCUUAGCGGCGGACGGGUGAGUAAUGCUUAGGAAUCUGCCCAUUAGUGGGGGACAACAUUCCGAAAGGAAUGCUAAUACCGCAUACGUCCUACGGGAGAAAGCAGGGGAUCUUCGGACCUUGCGCUAAUAGAUGAGCCUAAGUCGGAUUAGCUAGUUGGUGGGGUAAAGGCCUACCAAGGCGACGAUCUGUAGCGGGUCUGAGAGGAUGAUCCGCCACACUGGGACUGAGACACGGCCCAGACUCCUACGGGAGGCAGCAGUGGGGAAUAUUGGACAAUGGGGGGAACCCUGAUCCAGCCAUGCCGCGUGUGUGAAGAAGGCCUUAUGGUUGUAAAGCACUUUAAGCGAGGAGGAGGCUACUGAGACUAAUACUCUUGGAUAGUGGACGUUACUCGCAGAAUAAGCACCGGCUAACUCUGUGCCAGCAGCCGCGGUAAUACAGAGGGUGCGAGCGUUAAUCGGAUUUACUGGGCGUAAAGCGUGCGUAGGCGGCUUUUUAAGUCGGAUGUGAAAUCCCCGAGCUUAACUUGGGAAUUGCAUUCGAUACUGGGAAGCUAGAGUAUGGGAGAGGAUGGUAGAAUUCCAGGUGUAGCGGUGAAAUGCGUAGAGAUCUGGAGGAAUACCGAUGGCGAAGGCAGCCAUCUGGCCUAAUACUGACGCUGAGGUACGAAAGCAUGGGGAGCAAACAGGAUUAGAUACCCUGGUAGUCCAUGCCGUAAACGAUGUCUACUAGCCGUUGGGGCCUUUGAGGCUUUAGUGGCGCAGCUAACGCGAUAAGUAGACCGCCUGGGGAGUACGGUCGCAAGACUAAAACUCAAAUGAAUUGACGGGGGCCCGCACAAGCGGUGGAGCAUGUGGUUUAAUUCGAUGCACGCGAAGAACCUUACCUGGCCUUGACAUACUAGAAACUUUCCAGAGAUGGAUUGGUGCCUUCGGGAAUCUAGAUAC